GAUGAACGCUGGCGGCGUGCUUAACACAUGCAAGUCGAACGGAAAGGCUCCUGCUUGCAGGGGUACUCGAGUGGCGAACGGGUGAGUAAGACGUGGGUGAUCUGCCCUGCACUUCGGGAUAUGGCUUGGAAACUGGGGCUAAUACCGGAAAGGACGGUGGGUUGGGUGCCGUUGUGGAAAGGUUUGCGGUGGGGGCUGUGCUCGCGGCCGAUCAGCUUGUUGGUGGGGUACUGGCUUGCCGAGGCGUCGACGGGCAGCCGGCCGGCGAGGGUGCACCGCCGCAUUGGGCCUGAGAUACGGCCCAGGCUCCUACGGGGGGCAGCAGUGGGGAAUAUUGCGCAAGGGGCGGCAGCCUGGUGCAGCGGCGCCGCGUGUGCGAGGACGGCCCUCGGGUUGUAAGCGCCUAUCGCUAGGGGCGGAGCGCGUGUGACGGGAAGUGGUGGAGGAGCCCCGGCUAACUUCGGU
rnacentral:rRNA from 1 species